UACGUAGGGGGGCAAGCGUUGUCCGGAUUUAUUGGGCGUAAAGAGCGUGUAGGCGGCCAUACAGGUCAGCUGUGAAAACUCGAGGCUCAACCUCGAGACGUCGGUUGAAACCGUAUGGCUAGAGUCCGGAAGAGGAGAGUGGAAUUCCAGGUGUAGCGGUGAAAUGCGUAGAUAUCUGGAGGAAUACCGGUGGCGAAGGCGGCAUCCUGGACCGACAUUGACGCUGAGGAGCGAAAGCUAGGGGAGCAAACGGG
rnacentral:rRNA from 1 species